UAGACUGGUUCCAGGAAAGGCUGUCUCCAGUCCUUCAUUCAAACAUAACAGAGGGAGCUGCAAACCAGAGGCCUCAGCAGCAAACCUCACUUCAAACUGAGGGUUCAAAUUGGAGUUUGGCCGAUGAAUGAGGGAAAACGGGACCCAGCAAAGUGACUGACUGUAAUUGUAGACCUAUCCAAAUCAGAAAGCAUCACUGUGCCUUGCAAGGCAGCCUGCAAUCGUUUCUUUCCCCAUAUCUAGAGACACAGGUGACUACAGGUAACAAAGCUAGCAGGACAGACUUCUGGGCCUAUCAGUAUCAUUUGACAGCUCUGACAUUUACGCCUCCAGAAAUGAUGACUGGCGAUGGCCAAAGAAGCAUCGCAUUUCUGCAAUUACUCCAAGAACGACCAAAAAUGAAUUUUAAGAAGCCCUGGUCAUAUGUAAAGAGAAAAAUCUGUGAACAUCUGUAUAAUUUCCUCAGAGACAGAUAAACAGGAAGUUAUGUUAAUUAUGCUAACUGGAAUACAGAAACUAAUUGGGUUAAUAUUCUAACCCAAUUUCGGGGCUUUUAAUUCACUGUAAUUGCUUAAUUGUUGUUUUAAAAUGUUUUUAAAUUGUUAA